GGAGAGUCAUCACAUUCCCAACAUGAAGAUCAUCUAAGGCGAAAAAUCCUGUCUUGAAAGCCUCUGUGUGGUCCACAAUAUUGGAAGAUUCUUUUGGGUCAUUUUUGGUACCGGUUCCACCAUAUUGGGUUAUGUAAGGUUUAGUGGUAUCAUCAUGGGAUGACUCUUUUAGGUCCUUUUUGGGUUUGGUUUCUCCAUAUUGGGCUAUAUAAGGUUCAGUGGUAUCAUCAUGGAAUGGCUCUUUUGGAGCUUUCUUGGCAGUAGUUGUUGUGUACCCAGCUAUGUAAGGUGCAUUGGGAUCAUGGGUGGUUCUAGUCCUAUACCCUGCAAUGUAAGGUGCAUUGGGAUCAUGGGUGGUUCUAGUCCUAUACCCUGCAAUGUAAGGUGUAUUGGAAUCAUGUGUGGUUCUAGUCCUAUACCCUGCAAUGUAAGGUGUAUUGGAAUCACGGGUUGUCCUAGUUCUAUACCCUGCAAUGUAAUUUGGUUGAUUGUUAGCCAUAUGUGCACUAGUUGUGUACCCAGCUAUGUAAGGUGCAUUAGAAUCAUAAGUGUUGGUCCUAUACCCUGCAAUGUAAGGUGUAUUGGAUUCUUGGGCUUUAUGGGAAGCACUAGUUGUUCUGUAACCAGCUAUGUAUGGUGUAUUGGAAUCAUAGGUUUUGGUUCUAUACCCUGCUAUGUGUUGAUUGGCUUUGUUUGCAGCAUUGCUUGUUGUGUACCCAGCUAUGUAAGGUUGAUGGAACUUUUCAUGGUUAUGGUUGCGCUUAGUAGCAGUAUAUGAAGCUAGGUAAUUAGGUUCAGCGGAUUCUGAAGUGGUUAUGUACCCUUGGCCAUAUGACUCGUCAUUAGACACUGAUGUGGCUUUGUACCAUUCAUC
rnacentral:lncRNA from 1 species